rnacentral:rRNA from 1 species
GAUGAACGCUGGCGGCGUGCCUAAUACAUGCAAGUCGAGCGAACAGACGAGGAGCUUGCUCCUCUGACGUUAGCGGCGGACGGGUGAGUAACACGUGGAUAACCUACCUAUAAGACUGGGAUAACUUCGGGAAACCGGAGCUAAUACCGGAUAACAUGUUGAACCGCAUGGUUCAACAGUGAAAGACGGUCUUGCUGUCACUUAUAGGUGGAUCCGCGCCGCAUUAGCUAGUUGGUAAGGUAACGGCUUACCAAGGCAACGAUGCGUAGCCGACCUGAGAGGGUGAUCGGCCACACUGGAACUGAGACACGGUCCAGACUCCUACGGGAGGCAGCAGUAGGGAAUCUUCCGCAAUGGGCGAAAGCCUGACGGAGCAACGCCGCGUGAGUGAUGAAGGUCUUCGGAUCGUAAAACUCUGUUAUUAGGGAAGAACAAAUGUGUAAGUAACUAUGCACGUCUUGACGGUACCUAAUCAGAAAGCCACGGCUAACUACGUG